rnacentral:rRNA from 1 species
GUGCCAGCCGCCGCGGUAAUACGUAGGGUGCGAGCGUUAAUCGGAAUUACUGGGCGUAAAGCGUGCGCAGGCGGUUCGUUAAGUCAGAUGUGAAAGCCCCGGGCUCAACCUGGGAACUGCAUUUGAAACUGGCGGGCUUGAGUGUGGCAGAGGGGGGUGGAAUUCCGCGUGUAGCAGUGAAAUGCGUAGAGAUGCGGAGGAACACCGAUGGCGAAGGCAGCCCCCUGGGCCAACACUGACGCUCAGGCACGAAAGCGUGGGGAGCAAACAGGAUUAGAUACCCCAGUAGUCC